rnacentral:antisense_RNA from 1 species
CUGGCAACGCUCUUUGGUCAUGGUCAAACAGAUCAAACCGCGACCAUAUUUGGCCAUAAAAUUGAUGGCUUCUGGCGUAAUGUGCUCCGCCGCCAUAAUCA